UAAGAGGUGGCAAGAAGCCGCAAUUGGCAUCGAAGAAGUUGGAAGCAGGAGGAAUUUUUCAUGAAUUGGGUUGUGCUGUCGCAACACUACUAGCGAUAGUUUGAUUUCGCGGGGAAACUGGACUUGGAGCACAAGAUCGUGUCUUUAUAUGCUCCUCUGAUGAUGAUCUGCCAAUCUGUCAAAGAUUGACACAUGGAUCCUGAAGGCAAAAAGUUUGGAGGAGGACCAAGGGAAUUAACGGGUGCUGUAGAUCUUAUAAGUCACUUCAAAUUACUUCCGCACUAUGAGUUUUUUUGCAAGAGGCCACUGCCCGUGUCAAUUGCAGACACACACUAUCUUCAUAAUGUGGUAGGAGACACAGAAAUCAGAAAAGGAGAUGGGAUGCAGUUGGAUCAACUUCUUCAGAAUACAUCUUACUCCGUAGAUACAAGUUCUCGCAUACAGCCUUUUGACCUAGAUAUUUUGAAGGAGGCUUUUCAACUGAGGGAAACAGCUCCCAUUGAUUUGCCUCCUGCCGAGAAGGGAACUCCAACUAUUGCAGGAAAAUCAAAAGGUGAGUCUAAAGAUAAGGAGAAGAAGCAUAGAAAGCACAAAGACAGGGACAAAGAUAAGGAUAAGGAGCAUAAGAAGCACAAGCAUCGCCAUAAAGACCGCAGCAAAGACAAGGACAAGGAGAGAAAAAAGGAAAAAAGUGUGUAUCAUGAUUCCAGUGCCGAUCAUGCGAAGAAACACCAUGAAAAGAAAAGGAAGCAUGAUGGAGAUGAAGAUCUUAACGAUGCAAGCAAACACAAAAAAAGCAAGCAUAAGAGCUCAAAAAUUGAUGAGUUGGGGGCAAUAAAGGUAGCAGGAUAAAAAGGAUACAUACUGUAGUUCACUUUUUUCUCAAAUAGUUGUUAUCAGUUGUUAAAGUUUGGAGGGGUCUCUCAGUUGACAUUGUGAAACUUGAGAGUAGCUAGUGAACUGUCCCUAAAUAUUAUCAUGAGGGUGAAUUCACCUGUUGGUGGAAGGAAAGGAUACUGAGGUAAAAUUUGCUGAGAAUGAACCUUGUUGUAUAAUUAUAACUAUCUUAUAUCUAUAUACACACACACAUUAGUGCCAGUAAUUUCCCAAAAUCUGGUCCUUUCUGUGUUUUCUCAGUUUUGUGGCGCACUGGACAUCUCAAAGUGAAUGCAUUAUUUUUGCCCCUUAGUGAAUUUUCUAUUUAGUAGUUUUCAAUUAGGGCUAGUUGCUUAGGAUGACUGAACUAGAACUAACACUGGGAAAUGUGUAUAUUGAUUUGAUUGCUUUUCCUCUGCCCUGUAUCUAACAGUAACUAGUCUGACAUUCAUGAUUUGUAUGGCUUGGCAUCAUGAAAACUAACUCUUCCCAAAGUUUUUUUGUAUAUAUUGUGUAUUGAAAUACUUGUCAUUUUGAGUAA